AUUCGUAUAGAUAACUUUUGAAAAUACAAUUCUUAAUUUGAUACUUGAUUAAAUAUUAAAAGUAAACGAAUUAAGGGGAGAUAACAGAUGACACGACUGUUCAUUUAUGGCGCGUAUACUAUUGUCGGGUUUUGUAUUAUUGUUCGAUUGAUAUCGCGAAAUAUUUGAUGUAUAACUAUGAUGGAAAAGUAAUGUAAUCUUUAUUGUAACUAUUGUAAAUAUAUAGACUAGACUGUGAACCAGAAUAAAAUGUAGUUAGCAGACUGGAUUGUCUUUUAAAGGUCCCGUUGUCAUGCCGAGUCCAAGCUAGUUCCCAAAUAAUGUAACAUCAAUGUGAGCAGUUCCCCGCAAAAAGAAUCGAUAAAACCAUGAGAGAAAGACUACAACACGAAUCACAAAAACGGGACCAAGUUCCCGCAUAAUAUAUUUUGGUGGAGGCGAGUGGUAAAAUCAUCGGUACCUACAACAAUGAACAACAUGUAAAGAUGGACUUCGGCACAGUUCGACAAAUUACAACUUGCAGUCAACUGAUGGACAACUAAAGAAAAAGAACAGGACAACAUAAUAAUAUAAAGAG
rnacentral:lncRNA from 1 species